rnacentral:rRNA from 1 species
CAGGAAACCGAGUCUUAACUGGGCGUUAAGUUGCAGGGUAUGACCCAGUGAUCAGCCAUGGGCAGGUUGAAGGUUGGGUAACACUAACUGGAGGACCGAACCGACUAAUGUUGAAAAAUUAGCGGAUGACUUGUGGCUGGGGGUGAAAGGCCAAUCAAACCGGGAGAUAGCUGGUUCUCCCGAAAGCUAUUUAGGUAGCGCCUCGUGAACUCAUCUUCGGGGGUAGAGCACUGUUUCGGCUAGGGGGUCAUCCCGACUUACCAACCCGAUGCAAACUACGAAUACCGAAGAAUGUUAUCACGGGAGACACACGGCGGGUGCUAACGUCCGUCGUGAAGAGGGAAACAACCCAGACCGCCAGCUAAGGUCCCAAAGUCAUGGUUAAGUGGGAAACGAUGUGGAAGGCACAGACAGCCGAUGUUGGCUUAGAAGCAGCCAUCAUUUAAAGAAAGCGUAAUAGCUCACUGGUCGAGUCGGCCUGCGCGGAAGAUGGGGCUAAACCAUGCACCGAAGCUGCGGCAGCGACACUAUGUGUUGUUGGGUAGGGGAGCGUUCUGUAAGCCUGCGAAGGUGUGCUGUGAGGCAUGCUGGAGGUAUCAGAAGUGCGAAUGCUGACAUAAGUAACGAUAGCGGGUGAAAAGCCCGCUCGCCGGAAGACCAAGGGUUCCUGUCCAACGUUAAUCGGGGCAGGGUGAGUCGACCCUAAGGCGAGGCCGAAAGGCGUAGUCGAUGGGAAACAGGUUAAUAUUCCUGUACUUGGUGUUACUGCGAAGGGGGACGGAGAAGGCUAUGUUAGCCGGGCGACGGUUGUCCCGGUUUAAGCAUGUAGGCUGGUUAUCCGUGCAAAUCCGGAUAAUCAAGGCUGAGGUGUGAUGACGAGGCACUACGGUGCUGAAGUAACAAAUGCCCUGCUUCCGGAAAAGCCUCUAAGCAUCAGGUAACAUCAAAUCGUACCCCAAACCGACACAGGUGGUCAGGUAGAGAAUACCAAGGCGCUUGAGAGAACUCGGGUGAAGGAACUAGGCAAAAUGGUGCCGUAACUUCGGGAGAAGGCACGCUGGUGUGUAGGUGAAGUCCCUGCGGGUGGAGCUGAGACCAGUCGAAGAUACCAGCUGGCUGCAACUGUUUAUUAAAAACACAGCACUGUGCAAACACGAAAGUGGACGUAUACGGUGUGACGCCUGCCCGGUGCCGGAAGGUUAAUUGAUGGGGUUAUCCGUAAGGAGAAGCUCUUGAUCGAAGCCCGGUAAACGGCGGCCGUAACUAUAACGGUCCUAAGGUAGCGAAAUUCCUUGUCGGGUAAGUUCCGACCUGCACGAAUGGCGUAAUGAUGGCGGGCUGUCUCCACCCGAGACUCAGUGAAAUUGAACUCGCUGUGAAGAUGCAGUGUACCCGCGGCAAGACGGAAAGACCCCGUGAACCUUUACUAUAGCUUGACACUGAACAUUGAGCCUUGAUGUGUAGGAUAGGUGGGAGGCUUUGAAGCGUGGACGCCAGUCUGCGUGGAGCCAACCUUGAAAUACCACCCUUUAAUGUUUGAUGUUCUAACGUUGGCCCCUGACCGGGGUUGCGGACAGUGUCUGGUGGGUAGUUUGACUGGGGCGGUCUCCUCCCAAAGCGUAACGGAGGAGCACGAAGGUUAGCUAAUCUGGUCGGACAUCAGGAGGUUAGUGCAAUGGCAUAAGCUAGCUUGACUGCGAGCGUGACGGCGCGAGCAGGUGCGAAAGCAGGUCAUAGUGAUCCGGUGGUUCUGAAUGGAAGGGCCAUCGCUCAACGGAUAAAAGGUACUCCGGGGAUAACAGGCUGAUACCGCCCAAGAGUUCAUAUCGACGGCGGUGUUUGGCACCUCGAUGUCGGCUCAUCACAUCCUGGGGCUGAAGUAGGUCCCAAGGGUAUGGCUGUUCGCCAUUUAAAGUGGUACGCGAGCUGGGUUUAGAACGUCGUGAGACAGUUCGGUCCCUAUCUGCCGUGGGCGCUGGAGAAUUGAGGGGGCUGCUCCUAGUACGAGAGGACCGGAGUGGACGCAUCACUGGUGUUCGGGUUGUCAUGCCAAUGGCACUGCCCGGUAGCUAAAUGCGGAAGAGAUAAGUGCUGAAAGCAUCUAAGCACGAAACUUGCCCCGAGAUGAGUUCUCCCUGAGACUUUAAGUCUCCUGAAGGAACGUUAAAGACGAUGACGUUGAUAGGCCGGGUGUGUAAGCGCAGCGAUGCGUUGAGCUAACCGGUACUAAUGAACCGUGAGGCUUAACCUU